rnacentral:piRNA from 1 species
UUCUAGCCUAGGCUGGCCUUGCACUACCAUA